GAUGAACGCUGGCGGCGUGCCUAAUACAUGCAAGUCGAGCGAACAGACGAGGAGCUUGCUCCUCUGACGUUAGCGGCGGACGGGUGAGUAACACGUGGAUAACCUACCUAUAAGACUGGGAUAACUUCGGGAAACCGGAGCUAAUACCGGAUAAUAUAUUGAACCGCAUGGUUCAAUAGUGAAAGACGGUUUUGCUGUCACUUAUAGAUGGAUCCGCGCCGCACUAGCUAGUUGGUAAGGUAACGGCUUACCAAGGCAACGAUGCGUAGCCGACCUGAGAGGGUGAUCGGCCACACUGGAACUGGGACACGGUCCCGACUCCUACGGGAGGCAGCAGUAGGGAAUCUUCCGCAAUGGGCGAAAGCUUGACGGAGCAACGCCGCGUGAGUGAUGAAGGUCUUCGGAUCGUAAAACUCUGUUAUUAGGGAAGAACAAAUGUGUAAGUAACUAUGCACGUCUUGACGGUACCUAAUCAGAAAGCCACGGCUAACUACGUG
rnacentral:rRNA from 1 species